rnacentral:tRNA from 1 species
AGGGGCUUAGCUUAGUGGCAUAAGCGCCUGCCUUGUAAGCAGGAGUUGUGAGUUCGAUCCAUGGUACUGA